rnacentral:rRNA from 1 species
AUUGAACGCUGGCGGCGUGCCUAACACAUGCAAGUCGAGCGGAGCUGCGGACGGGUGAGUAAUGCCUAGGAAUCUGCCUGUUAGUGGGGUAUACCGUCCGGAAACGGGCGCUAAUGCCGCAUACUAUCAGAUCAGCCUCGGUCGGAUUAGCUAGUUGGUGGGGUAAAGGCUUACCAAGUGGACGAUCCGUCACUGGGCUGAGAGGAUGAUGAGUCACACUGGGACUGAGACACGGUCAAGACUCCUACGGGAGGCAGCAGUGGGGAAGAUUGGACAAUGGGCUAAAGGCUGAACCAGCCAUGCAGCGUGGGGGAAGAAGGUUUUCGGAUUGUAAAGCACUUUAAGUAGAGAGGCGUUACCAACAGAAUAAGCACCGGCUAACUUCGUGCCAGCAGCCGCGGUAAUUC